GAGGUACUGACGGAGGAUGGUAACAGCUGACAGCCUUGAAACACAUACAAAAGGACAAAGGUGUGAAGCGAAUAGCCUGGAGUCCUGGCAGAAGCUACCUGGAAUUGGGUAUGAAGGAGGAAAUUUGCCUAAACUGCAAUUUGAUCAUGUCGUGGAUUUAACUUCUUAGAUGAAAUCAUCUCCCAGUUCACCCUCCAGGAACCACUGAUGACAACUGAAAAAAGGUGAGCAUUAUCUUAUUUGGUCAUUUGUCGUCUUAAACAAUCCUAGAAAACUUUUCAGAACUAAGAUUUACAGCUCAUAGUUGGUCCUCAGGAGUUCAUCUAGUCAACCAUCAGCUAUGAUUUGGUUUUGCCUACAUGCCUGAAACGCCCAGUUUUCUCUCAAGCAUAGCUGUUUGUUAGUGUGCAUGUCUUGAACAGAUGUGAUGAAUUUUAUUGCUCUUUCUUUUCAUUCUUUCUACAAUUUGUAUCUUCAGGAAAAGACAGUGCUUAAAUAUGAAUGUAUGAUAACCAUUCUCACCAUAUGCUGUAUUGCUUUUUUAAACUACAGCUCACACAGCUCGCACUGGCUCUGUGAAAGUAUCCAUCUACUUAAGCUUUCCUUCUGCUUACAAUAGAACUCAUUUCCCCAGGAGCUCUGCUGGACCUCAUCUGCAGAGCUCAGGUACUCAUUAAAACAUCA
ensembl:lncRNA